rnacentral:rRNA from 1 species
GAUGAACGCUGGCGGCAUGCCUAACACAUGCAAGUUGAACGAGAAGUUCCGGAACAAGUCUUCGGACAAGGGAAGGGACGGAAAGUAGCGAACGGGUGAGUAACGCGUGGGCAACCAACCUUACACUGGGGGAUAACACAGAGAAAUUUGUGCUAAUACCGCAUAAGCGCACAGUACCGCAUGGUACAGUGUGAAAAACUCCGGUGGUGUAAGACGGGCCCGCGUCUGAUUAGUUAGUUGGUGAGGUAAAAGCUUACCAAGGCAACGAUCAGUAGCCGACCUGAGAGGGUGAUCGGCCACAUUGGGACUGAGACACGGCCCAAACUCCUACGGGAGGCAGCAGUGGGGGAUAUUGCACAAUGGAGGGAACUCUGAUGCAGCAAUGCCGCGUGAAGGAAGAAGGUUUUCGGAUUGUAAACUUCUAUCAGCAGGGAAGAAAAUGACGUACUGACUAAGAGCCCCGC